CCCACCUACUUUCAGGAUUCACUAUUCUACCAUUUGUAAAGGCUUUCCCAUUGAACUGAAACGGGCCUUCCUCUGCCUCUCCCCCUUCUUACGCUGCAUGACUGAGCAUGCGCCAGAAGUUGGUGCCGCAGAAAUCAGCGGUGAUUCGGCAAUGCAUCGUUACUAAACCGAAAAUAUUGGUGUUUUUAGUGAAUCAUAACGAUGUUUUAAACCAUGCCUUUUGUUCGAGUUUGUGGAGACUGUGUGGUUGUGGAUCAAGAGAAAAUGAAAAUAAAGCCUGCUUUUCAGAGUGCCUAGCAUCCCAUCCAAAGCGAAAAAUGAAGGCAUCGGACUCUGCUAUUAAGGUGCAAGCCACCGGUCUCCUGCAUGUCUUUGCUGGUAACGCUAACUUGCCUGCUACCUUUCAAGUGGAAAAUGGUAAAACUGUGCAUGAUCUAAUUGGAGGGUCACUCUUGCGUGGUGAUAUGAGCGGGUGGGGGCUCUGGAACCUUCCCUCCCUGGGUGUGCUUUGGCCAACUGCACGUCCCUCUCCCUCAGGCCCAGAACUCACAUCGCUUCUCCACCACCGUGCCGGAAUCCGUGCUUCCGCUUUGUUUUGCUUCCUCCACUGCCACCUGACCCGUGCCGGGACACAAGUGCCCGUGCCGAUUUUAGCUACUGCUCUGGGGUAGGUACCAAAGGUACUAUCCGUGCUGCAAUUCGAUAGUGCAGACCAUUGAUUGGUCAAUGGAAAUCUUCACAAAUACGUCAUCCCAUGUUCAGUUUGUUCACCGGUAGCAACCGCCAUUUUUAAAUGCCACAACAGCAAGAGAGAGUAACGUUAACUAGCGAAUUCUACAGUCAAUAUCUGGGACUAAAUGUUGAAUAAAUACACAACCUUACCUUUGGUUUUACGCGUAGAGAUAUUCCUUUUGAGACUGAGUGGUCAUAUAUUGUCUUGGACAAUCUGUUUGUGAAAUAUACGCGCGUUUAUGAUGCAUGGGUACCUCCAUAAAUAACAAGCUGUGCGUAAUACCACGUGUUGUUUACGGCAUUGUCGCCCUUUUUAGUACAAUCUGGUUUGAUUGACAAUUCAUUUAUUCAGUAGGUGAGAGUAUAAGCUUUCUAACGAUGUGUAACCUAUCUAAUUUUGCGUUUGGAAUAGCGUUUUAUAGGUCAGUGUAACCAAAAAUUAUCGCAUUCACUUACGCAUUCACUCUGGGGUAGCAGUAAAAGACGUAAGACGUAAUGUAAGUAUUACUGCUCAAAUAUUUCGGUUAUAUACGUUAUUUUUUUAUAUUGAGUGUCUUUAAAUAGGUCAGUGGUAUUAUAUAAUAUGGAUAUUUCACACUGUAAUGUUAGCGUUAGUUAGUAGUGUAAUAGUUUUUGUGAUGCAUGCAACAGUGAUGAGGAGGGCUGGAACAUUGCCAAAACGUGGUGGACGGUGGAAACUGUUUUCAUGUCGUCCCAUCCCCAUACAAGAAAACAUACAAGAGUACAUAGUAUAGAAAUACAUACAAGAGUUAAUUAUUACACAUUUAGGAUCUACAGGUCGUCUGAUUGGACCUUUAAAGGAGAGAACACUGGAUUGCAUACCCUGCUUGACGCUUUAGUUUUUUACCGGAAAUUGACGUUUUAUGCAUUUGCAUAUGCUAGUUGUGUGUUCGUAAGCCUGGUUUAAAAGGUGGGUGCUUCAGUGCAGUGGUAGUUUCAGUCCAUGAUGGUGCAGGGCAUUCCAGGAUAGCAUCGCAUUUCAGCGACUCUGUCCAUGUCAGCUUUCUGUGAUUGAGAGCUGACUGCGAAACCCAAAUGGAUGCCUAGUGUAACUCAACUGUUCCAGUGCUAGGAAGCUUCCUGGAAACACAGGUGAUUCAAGCAGCUAUUCUGUGGGGGAGAGGGGGUUCCCUCUUCCCUUCUCUUAUUGGUGCAUUGAAUUUCAGUCUCUUGAUAGAAAAGAUGUGUGUAAUGUGCUCAGUGAGGAAAGCAUAUAAAGAUUUUUAAAUACUUUUCGUGGAAGCUAAUAUACAAAGCUGAGACUUGCUAACUUGCUAACAUUUAGCUGCAGUAGAGCUUUUUAAAAUAAGCAAUCUUGUGAUUCUCAUUGAAAUUCAGUGCAUGCAUGUCGUUCAUUAGGUUAAUUUAGGUAGUGUAGCUCACUUUGUGCUUAGCAGUCCUUGCGAGCACCUAUGGGUUUCAGGGCUGUUUCUAGCUUCCUAGGAGUGAUAACCACAUUCUGAUUGGGUUUCGCAACCUGAGAGAGACCGAUAGCAGCCAAUGAGAGCCAGUAAAUACAGUAAUAUGCUCCGGACAGACGCCUGUUUUCUGUGAGCAGCUUGCUGUGGAAGAAGAGGCCAUGGAAAGGCCGGUUGAAGAUCAGGGCCUGAUCAUUGGGCCUGUUUAGAAAAGAGCAAUGUCAUGUUAAAUUUGGUGCAUCUUUUGUGCAAUUUGAGUUAACUGUUCAGAACAGCACCCAAACACUGACAUGUCAAUUUUAAUAAUGUAAAUUUGGCUAACGCAAGAUUAGUUGAAUGAGAUUGCUUUGGACUGAACGAGGGCCGGUUGUGUGACUCAUAUUCUGGGGAAUGUGGGGAGGAAAGGCCACUGCAGGCAUGUUAGAGGUGAGCUCUUCAGAAGUAGUGCUUUUCUCAUAACACACGGGUCGCAGUGCUAAGUGGCCCUGGUGGGCCGUGGCUUUCGUCAUGCAUUGCUUGUUGUGGCUGUUGUCUGCAGGUUUUAACUGCAUGUUCAGGUGCACUGAGCUUUUUAAAUUUUUAAAAAUGUAUUUAUUGUAUUUUGUGCACCACCACUUAUUUGACCGCUUUAUUAAGUAUAGUGUUUCUGUUCGAUUACGCAGUGGGCCUGCCCAGGCAGUUUGGGUUCUGAAUGUGUUGCUAUGGUUUUAUGCCCCAGACCAUUUAAAACUAUUAAACCCUUCCGUUUUUAGUCCCCAGUGAUGGAUUCUAAAAAUAGAAAAGGUUAAGAAGUGCUUUCCAGAAAAAUCAAAGCGUAGUGUUGUCUAUCCUCAUCUGACGCCUGCUUCCUGAGCAAAUGUUUAUUUAAAUGGACAGUUCUAGAAAAUCAGUCCAGUAGCCUUUAUAAAGCUUGAGGCCGUGACUUUAUCUUGAGUGCUUGACUUGUGGAGUACUCAUCCCCACCGUUAGCGGUGAGGCUGCAGGGGAGUUGUGGAGUACUCAUCCCCACUGUUAGCGGUGAGGCUGCAGGGGAGUUGUGGAGUACUCAUCCCCACCGUUAGCUGUGAGGCUGCGGGGGAGUUGUGGAGUACUCAUCCCCACCGUUAGCUGUGAGGCUGCAGGGGAGUUGUGGAGUACUCAUCCCCACUGUUAGCGGUGAGGCUGCAGGGGAGUUGUGGAGUACUCAUCCCCACCGUUAGCUGUGAGGCUGCGGGGGAGUUGUGGAGUACUCAUCCCCACCAUUAGCUGUGAGGCUGCAGGGGAGUUGUGGAGUACUCAUCCCCACCAUUAGCGGUGAGGCUGCAGGGGAGUUGUGGAGUACUCAUCCCCACCGUUAGCUGUGAGGCUGCAGGGGAGUUGUGGAGUACUCAUCCCCACCAUUAGUUGUGAGGCUGCGGGGGAGUUGUGGAGUACUCAUCCCCACCGUUAGCUGUGAGGCUGCAGGGGAGUUGUGGAGUACUCAUCCCCAGUGUUAGCUGUGAGGAUGCAGGGAGCAGUGCAUGUUUUCUUUGACGGAGAGUCACAGUACAGAAAGCACUGAAUGCUGACCUCUCAUUCAGAGGCUUAAGCAGCUAUGUUCAGGACAGUGGUGAUCAGGGAUGCAUUGUUGAAAAGGCUUCAGUGUCAUUUGGGUCGUUUAAGCAUGGUCAAACGCACAGGCUGAGUAAACGUGAGAGAUGCUCGGCUAAGCAAGACUUGUUUGUAAUGUUUGUGUGUUCAUGUGAAGUGACAGAAUUAAAUUUUAAAUCAGCAUUUUGCAAAGAGACCAGAGGAAUUACAGCAUCGUUAAUAAUGCAGGGUGUAAUUAAAAAAGUAGUGCUUCCCUUGUGGUAGAUCAGCAGGCUACAUGCUGAAAGUCCCUUUUGGCAGUACUGCUGCUACAGCAAGCAUCUCACCAACACUACUACUUUCCUCCAUUUUAGCUGUAUUGGCCUAGAUAUUUUCUAGAUGAGUUUCGCGCGGAAGUAUUGCAACCAACCACAUGGGAGUAACUACUCGAGUAAGUGCUCAAGGGAGUGGAUAUGUUCAUUGCUAUCGUAACCAUUAGCUGCGUCUCUUCUCAUUGCUUUGAUGUGAACGGGUCAGUUUUAGAAUGUUGUAAACAAUGAAUUUCGUGAAGUCAGCAUUUGCAGCGAUCUUUGGUCUGAACUGGGCUUCAAAUUGCGUGGAAUGCAAAGCAAUCUUCAGGGAUAAAGAAUAUAACGUGUUCAGCCAUCUAUCGUGGUCCGGUGAACACCAUAAACAGGCAGGACAUCCACGCUAUCAACAGCAACAAAGAUCUCCUGGAUGAAUGAUAGAAUAAUGAUUAGAGCCCGACCGAUGCCAAAUUUUUGGGUCCAAUGCUGAUCCCGAUUUUGGAGAGUCCAAGCCCACCGAUUACCGAUGUUUUGACCGAUAUUUUGUCAAACCAUGCAACAUUUUCAAAUCAAUUUGAAAAACUUAUAUUUUAUGAAAGUUUCUAUAUUAAAGAACAUUUAACUUAAGCAAACAAAUAGAAAUAAAAAUAAACACACAGAGAACUUUUUAGAUAAAAAAAUGUAAAAGAUGAUAUUAAAUUAAAUAUAUAUAUUAACACCAUCUUUAAGUGUGUGAAAUCAAAAUAACUCCACAUCUUGCUUUUACUCCUUUCUUUUCCAGCCAUCUAUAAAAAAUUAAUUAAAAAAAAAAUCAGUUUUCCAGUUUCAAACAUAAAUUUUUAUGAAUAUUAUUAUUGUUGUUAUUAAUUUGUUAUUAUUCUUUCUUAGUAUCUAUUCUCAGUAAAUUAAUUAUUUUCUUAUUUUAUUCCUACCACACGAUCUCAAAGUGUAAGACUUUACCUAGCGAGCUUCCCUGUCCAUAAGAAUUCGGUGGUGAAAAUAACUACAAUGCGCUCUGACCCGUGACUAGAUGACACACUCGCUCGCAAUAACGCAUUAGCUAUUGACACAGCCUCAUUAUUUCUUAUUAUAUAUUCUCAGUAAGUUAAAUGAAUUAUAUUUUAUUUCUACUACAUGAUCUCAAAGAGUAAGACAUUAUCUAGCGGAGCUAAUGAGUGAAUCAAGUGUAACGUUAGAUGAAAUUAAAUUGACUGGAUGAAAUACGUGAAAAAAACUACAAUGCGCUUUCGUGCAGGUUACCCGCGCUAACUGUUGAUUCACUUCUCCAACAGCAAUCCUUCUCUCAUGUUAUCACGACGAAGCUAGAUAACAUGGCUUAAAAUGGUCCAUGUUAGAAGUGUUUUAUCGGCGUUUUUUACUGUCUGGUUAGCUUGCUCCGAUGACGCGUGACUGGAUGACACACUCGCUUGCAAUAACGCGUUGGCUAUUGACACAGCAUCAUAUAGUAGCUAAUAUCAUUAUCUCAGAUAAAAAAACAAAUGUGUGAUGCAUUCAAUCACCAUUUUAUUUUGGCUGGUUAUUUAUUUGAGAAUACAGCGAUGUCCUCUGGAAAUGUAGAUCCUACGCUGCUUAUGUGCUCACUGCCACUUCAUAAAGGCUUGCUAGCCAGCUAGCUUGCUAAAGUGAACCAAAUAAGUUAGCUAGCUCGCUCGCUUGAUAAUGAGGAUUGAUAAACAUAGUGGUCGUAUAAACGCAUUUAAUUAAAAACUUUCACUAAAUAUACAUACCUUUAUUGCGGCAGUCGAAUCUGUGCACAGAGGUCUUGCAGUGGAGAAUAUUGGAUGAGGCACGAGUGACAAACGUCUUAUUACAGAAGUAGCGCGUCAGCUGCUGCAGUUCACACUUGUAUUAGAGCUCCCUCUACUGGAUAAUUCUAGUAAAUAGCAAUUACAGCGUUCGAACAGGCAAGUACACAUAAAUAAUCAAUGUUUUUUGUUUUGUUUAUUAUACUUAUUUAAAAAUCGGGACACACCGGCUGCAUAACUGCCGAUCACGAUGUCGUCAAAAAAAGUCAAGUAAUGGCCCAUAUAUCGGCCAAACCGAUAUAUCGGUCGGGCUCUAGUUAUCCAAUCCAAUCCAAUUUUAUUUGUUAAGCACUUUAAAACAGCCAUGGCUGACCAAAGUGCUGUACAGACAAAUAAAUACAUUGCAAAAUAAACACACAAUUGGAGAAAUAAAUAGGAUAAAAUAAAAUAAAUAGGAUAAAAUGAGGAAUAAAAUAAAGGAUAAAAUAAGAUAAGAUAAGAUAAGAAAAUAAAAUGAAGUCACUGUCUUACUAGGAGUCAAAAGCCAAGGAGAAGAGGUGGCUUUUGACGAGGGAUUUAAAAACAGACAGAGGAGGCCUGUCUGAUGUGCUGAGGCAGGCCGUUCCAUA